GGACUACCGGGGUAUCUAAUCCUGUUUGCUCCCCUUGCUUUCGCGCCUCAGCGUCAGUAUCAGCCCAGAAAACCGUCUUCACCACCGGUGUUCUUCCACAUAUCUACGCAUUUCACCGCUACACGUGGAAUUCCGUUUUCCCUAGCUGAACUCUAGUGAGGAAGUUUCAAGUGCAGCUCCGGGGUUGAGCCCCGGAAUUUCACACCUGACUUUCCUUACCGCCUACGCGCCCUUUACGCCCAGUAAUUCCGAUCAAUGCUUGCACCCUCCGUAUUACCGCGGCGGCUGGCAC
rnacentral:rRNA from 1 species